CGGCGACCGGCGGCAGGCCAGGCGGGGGGCGGAUUGGAUCGGAUGCGCUGCGCGCCCGCACGGCUUGUCGGGGGAGGGGGGCGACGUGGCCCAAGCUGCGACACUCCUCCUCCGCGUAUUUUAAUCCCGGCGAGCCCUAGAUAUUUUCGGCUCCCCGCCCCGGCGCCUUUCCGCUCCCUGCAAGAAGGCCACCCCCGGCGGCCUCCCCGGCUGCGCGCAGCGCACGCAUCGGGCCGGGAAUCCACCUCAGAUUUCGCUUGCUCCCCUCCCUCCCCCCGCGGCGUCCCCCCCGUCUCUCUCUCCGCGCUGGUGAGCCCCCGCGGGCGACGUGUGUCCCCUGUCCCGCGGGGGGUUUCCUCGCCUUCGACGGCCAUCUGUUCGCCUCGCAUGGCUCCCCUCCUGCCAAGCGUCCUCGCGUCGUCCCGGGAGCGCCUCCGCUCGCCAGGCGGCCGAGCGCCGCGGCGUCCAGCACAGAUCCGCGCGCCGCCCAGCUAAUCGCCGCGCCACUUCCUCAGACUCCCAUCUCUAAUAGCUCACCCGCAUCCCCCGUGCUCGGCGCGGCCUUCUCUUCCUUGCCUCCUCCUGUAUGUAGCUUAUAGCUUGUAGCUCCCUCACUCCCAAACUAGCAGCUCAGAAUGGCUCCGCUUGCCUUUAAUUUCGCAUCUCUCGAGCCGCAGCGGCACGCCGUCGUCGUCUCAGAUUAAUGCAAGGGGUGGUGACAAGCUAGAGGCAGCAGCUGCAUAUCCUGCAAGAAAAUUGGUUUUCAGACCAUACCUAUGAUUUUCUUGCAAGUUGUGCAGUUGUUGUCUCAAGCUUGCUGCCUCCCUUUGCCAAAACUAUCAAGAAAAGCACAGGUUAUGUUAUUGAUGAACACAUAGGUUAAAAUUAAAUGAAUGAGCAUGUGUCUGUAACAAGCAGGAUGUUAAUUUAUGAAAUCUUGUAGCAUAAAGUAGCACUUCUCAGCAUUAUACUUAUACCACAGAUAUUAGGUUCAAAACUUGGUUGUCCAUUUUAUAGCAUGAAGUAGUAUUUAUUUUAUUAUUAAGGAAAUGCAAAAACCGGUUCUCCAUAUUGGCAAUGUGUGGCUAUCUUAAUGGUUUCUUUUAGCUUUGGUCAUCAUGCAGUAUGCUAAGGUGGCGCUUACUGAACUAGCAAACUAUGUAUUUCGGCUGACACUGUUGCCACUGUGCAGUGGCAAGCAAACUCUAUGAAGAAACAAGGGUGCACCGUUGUCCGCCAGUGUUAAUCCUUCUGUAGUUAAUGUUCAGAGUACUCAACUCAAUGUCUACACUGCGCUUUAUUCUGCUUUCUUUGGUUUGCAAGGUCGGAGGAGGUAUGGGAACAAAUGGAAGUUCAGUUGUAUUUGAACUGCCCUGCAUAUCUAUAAGGCAGUUUCUGGUGUAGACUAUUGGAGAUUGGAGUUAUGAGAUGAUCGACAACAGUACUAGAAAUUAUACAUUUCGGUGUCUUGCUUAGCCAAACUCAACUGGCAAAUAUGCCAUUUGCAGUUGAAGUAAAAAUUGCUGAUUAAGGCAUCCGUUGGAUUUGGUGUUGGAAGACGAGAAAAUUCCAACUAAUAUGCAGAAUUCAAAGUUGUAUGCUUCAAUCUUAUGUGGUUGGAUCUAAUUAAUUUGUAUACUUGGUCUGUCGAGCAGGCUUUUAUAGUUUAGCAACUUGUAAAUUAUGCUAUGAGAAGUAUUUGAAAUAAAAAGCAUGUAUUUUGAGAUGUCUCC